ACUUGAAUUGAAGAGUUUGAUCAUGGCUCAGAUUGAACGCUGGCGGCAGGCUUAACACAUGCAAGUCGAACGGUAGCAGGAGGAAGCUUGCUUUCUUGCUGACGAGUGGCGGACGGGUGAGUAAUGCUUGGGAAUCUGGCUUAUGGAGGGGGAUAACGACGGGAAACUGUCGCUAAUACCGCGUAGUGUCGAGAGACGAAAGUGCGGGACUGUAAGGCCGCAUGCCAUAGGAUGAGCCCAAGUGGGAUUAGGUAGUUGGUGGGGUAAAGGCCUACCAAGCCUGCGAUCUCUAGCUGGUCUGAGAGGAUGACCAGCCACACUGGAACUGAGACACGGUCCAGACUCCUACGGGAGGCAGCAGUGGGGAAUAUUGCGCAAUGGGGGGAACCCUGACGCAGCCAUGCCGCGUGAAUGAAGAAGGCCUUCGGGUUGUAAAGUUCUUUCGGUAUUGAGGAAGGUUGAUGUGUUAAUAGCACAUCAAAUUGACGUUAAAUACAGAAGAAGCACCGGCUAACUCCGUGCCAGCAGCCGCGGUAAUACGGAGGGUGCGAGCGUUAAUCGGAAUAACUGGGCGUAAAGGGCACGCAGGCGGUUAUUUAAGUGAGGUGUGAAAGCCCUGGGCUUAACCUAGGAAUUGCAUUUCAGACUGGGUAACUAGAGUACUUUAGGGAGGGGUAGAAUUCCACGUGUAGCGGUGAAAUGCGUAGAGAUGUGGAGGAAUACCGAAGGCGAAGGCAGCCCCUUGGGAAUGUACUGACGCUCAUGUGCGAAAGCGUGGGGAGCAAACAGGAUUAGAUACCCUGGUAGUCCACGCUGUAAACGCUGUCGAUUUGGGGGUUGGGGUUUAACUCUGGCGCCCGUAGCUAACGUGAUAAAUCGACCGCCUGGGGAGUACGGCCGCAAGGUUAAAACUCAAAUGAAUUGACGGGGGCCCGCACAAGCGGUGGAG
rnacentral:rRNA from 1 species